CGUCGGAUACGAUAAUUGUUUUCUCACUUUAUGAUCUUCCGAACAAGUCAAUGACGUAUGGGACCAGCUACCCGUGGGGGCCGCCGGUCGGAGGCAGCCACGCUCGCUCGUCCGCGUCACGCCUCUACCGACCAUGGUGAAAACCCUAGAGCAAUCGCGAGCGAAUCCUGAGCCUCCUCCCAUCCCCAAUCGGUCGCCUCCGCUCCUCGCCCAAUCCCCGUCUCCUCUCCCCGCCGCCAAUCAGCCUGGCACCCGGCGGCUGUGGCGGCGCCCUGCUGCCGAAGACGGAAGGGAGUGGUCGGCGCCCCGGUGUCUCCUCUGCGCGCGGAGAGGCGGCGACCUGGCGGCUGGCGAGGCGCGGUGGCGGCCUCGGCGGCGGGCGCGGCGAGGUGAGGUGGUUUCCGGGCCGGCGUGGCAUGCUGUGCUGACCGGCGGCGGAGGGGGCGGUCGGCUCGCUUCUGGAGGAGGCUGCGCCCUGGCGGGCUCGAUCUGGGCCUCACGGGGCCGGUCUGGGCGGACGGAGCAGCGCUCGAACGACCGAGGCGGCUGGACGCAGGGCCGAUGGCGGCAGGGAGUGUGCUGAGCAGCGGCGGCUGGAAGCAUGCUGAGCAGCGGUGGUGGCUUGAGGUGGACAAGGUUUGAGGUGGUUUUGUAUAUCUAAUCCUGCUUAUUUUCCCUGAAUUUUCGUAGUGGUUGCAGCGAGCACAAGAAAACUGAGUUCGCCAGCUUCAUAUGGUGCUACCUCUGGUAAAUCUCAUCUUCAUAUCGUUUGUUAAUUUCCGCCGUGUUUAUGAUAGUUGUGGUUGUUUUUGCCAGUGGCGAGCAUAUGAAGUAUUGUAAGAUCCAGACCGUACAGAUGAGAUGGUGAUUCUAGAAGAAAUCCUCUAACAGUCUCGAUGCCUCAUUCUGAUUUUAUUUAUCUGAGAGCGAGGAAUGUGUUUGUGUGUGAUGCUUGUGAUCUUGCAUGAUUUGAAUGUUCAGCUCAUGUCUCUAAAUCUCCACUGAGGUCCGGUAUUGUAUCCAAGAUCUGCUACGUGUCCUGUUGGUAGCUACUACUAAAUUAUCAUAUCAUGCAUAUGUUGCUUUACGAUUUGAGCCAAGUUCGGUGCAACUAUAAGGGCAGAGAAGAACCAAUGUUUAGUUCAUACAACCCUGGCUGACAAUGUUUAAUGGAUUUUUAUGUUCCAUUUGGUGUUAGCUUCCCUAAUUCUGUUCUUCUCUUCGGCAGAGUGUUACAGACGAGGAUGCUUCUUAUUCAUUUCCUUCACCAAAUUAACCAAACCUUUUUAUUCUAAGCUUUUUUCAUUUCCUGCUUACCUAUUCUUGCGUGUAAUAACUGUUGCAUUCCGAUAAAGAACGUAAGGAAGUUGCACAUUAUCUGUGGUCGCCCCGCCAAGGAGAGCUGAGUGUACAUAUAUUUCUCUCCUCUGCUCAGUGCUUGAGUCUAACUCAUAAUGUUAAUUUGUUUGAUUUCAGGUUCAGCCAAGAGUGAAAGUUAAUUGAAGAGUAUGUUCGCACGAGGGUCGAAAACCCCUGGUAAAUGUAAUUUAAUCACUCUAUUGAUUUGGUACGUUUCUUGCAUUCCAAGGUUUUAAAAAACUGCAAGGAUUUUAGAGUUCUUGGUGCCUGGGUGGUUGUGUAGGAUUUGGGAGGUAACCCCUCAGAAACAUUUCAACCGUAUGGUACAUUUGGCUUUACAGCUGCAGAACAUGCUCAGGAACAAUCAUCCAAGAAAAAAGAAAGAGAAGUUAGCAUCAUUUUAUCUGCAACUCACCCAAUUUUACAGUACUCCAUAGAUCAUGAGACUAAUUUAGUUUCAUGGUGGUCAAUGAACUCUCUUGGUUGUUAACUAUAUUUGAUAUUCCGCUUAUUUGGCAAAAGUAUUUGAUACACAAAGGAUGUUCUUUGCUGCAAUAUGAAUAGCCUAUAUUUUGAUAUUUCACUUGUUUGGCAAGAGUAUUUGAUACACUAGGAUUGGAUAGCCAAGCACUUGAGUACAUAUUUGGGGUUUUGCUUAAUACUUCCUCAUGGCCUGUUCAGGAGGAAAAUUCUAUAGGGCUUUCCUUUGUAUGUUAUUUCCUGUCAAAUUCAUGCAUUUUGUUAUUCUAAUUUUUCUAUACAUCCGGCAUCACAUUGGCCACAGGUAGCGCGGGCAGAGUUUGGGGAAAUGAGAACUUCAGGCAGAUUCCAAUGCAUAGUAGAAGUUCAAGGCUCUGGUUUUAAUGCUGUAUAAAAACAAAGCAAAAGGAUGAUCUGGUUUUUCCUGCAACUUAGUUUCUACUUCGUUUGUACUUUUUUUUGAAAUAACACUUCUUAACUGAUUAAAAUUGUUACAGUACUAUCUCGCUUUUGCCUCUGCAUUGGGGCGCACCAGUCAUAGGACAAUGCCGAUGAACAUUAGAAUAGAAGGCAACGACCCUGCCCUCUUUGCGGCAAGGCUCAUCGAAACAAUCAGUCGAGACCAAGGCCUUCGACCCAUGGCGCUGCUCACAAGGCUGUGGAUACAGGGGGUGUGAAGAGAGGUAACUUGGCGUAUUUUUCUACUAAUUGAGCAGUGCAUAGAUGAUGAAGGAAGGCUGACAGCGAGGAGGCCAAAUAGUCCUGCAGCGGUUCAUACAUCGGAGGCUCCUGCAACUGGAAGAAAAGUUUCUUGAAUAGGCUGUUGGCAAGGUGCUUACCUUAACGGAGAGUUGACAGGAAUAGCCUUCCGUGCCCCAGCUGUUGAUAAUUUUGUUGUUGAUCUGACCGUGAGACUUGAGAAGGCAGCCACCUAUGAGCAGAUUAAGGUUGCGAGCAAUGUAUAUGGUUGUAGAUUCAGUAUUGCGUAAAAUGGAUGGUUGUCUCUGAUGAUGAGUACUGAUCUUCUAACAACUUUGCAUGGAGGAGUCUGAGGGCAAGCUCAAGGGCAUGGGUUGCAAGGUGUAUAUAUUUUGGGUCUCACAUGGGAAGGAAAAUAAGCGUAAAAUGCAAAUGAACACCUAGAGUUGCUUCUGCAUGUACUUUUUUUCAAUGCAAACUACAGUCACUUGACAAAUUUUCAUAAUUAUUUUGUCAUGGAACUGGUUCUGCCGGUUCCACUGGCCAGCACAUUUUUGGUUUGUGGGACAAACAUGUUUGUUCAAAUUCCCAAAGGGUUUGAUGCCGAACUGUUCAUAUAAUCUUGCACUUAUUUUUGUAGUUAGAUAAUGAUUAUUCUCAUACAUUAGUUUAAGAACACUGAUUUUUUUGGGAAGCUUUGUCAUUAAAUUAAUCUUGGUUUCGUCUUCAUGUCAUGCAGAGUUGUAUGGAGUGUCGAGGACUUGUAGCUUGGGGUGGCCACAGGUUGCAGGGUAUCGUGAUGUGCUGGAUAUGUUCUUCAGAGAACAGGUGAUGUACGAACGACAGGUCCUGAAUUACACACUUCUAAAUUUUGAGGGAUUUUUUUCUUUGCAAGCAUUCUUAACCCCCUGUUGAUUCUCAGUACUUAAUUUACUGCAGCAUGUCUUAGGCUCACGAUUUCAAACUAAGAACCAUUUUUGCUGAUGUAGGCAUUGCUCAGCCUUUGUUUCUGUUCCAUAGUACUACUUCCACCUUAUGAUGUUAAAGUUAAUUAUGACUAUGUCUAAAUCGUUUUCUUGGUAGAGAUAGGCUUGUAUCAUUUAUCACGGAGACUCUGGCUCAUCACUGGUUUCAUCGCCUUCUUUACUUAUCCAUUUCUAAUUUCGACUCAAAGAAGUGAGGAAAUAGUAGGGGAUUACUGUCAGGGAUUAUAAAUAUAUAUCUAUAUUACAAAAUCUGGUUAAUACAUUAUUUGCCCGCUCUUCUCUUCUGUUAUGCUUAUUUCUUCCUUGACCUGGUUUCCAUCCCUAUCAUCAUAGUUUAUCAUAUUUCACCCCACUAGAUUUCAAGAUGUAUGUUGUUGUUUCUUUCUAAUUAGAUUUGUUACUGCUUCCUUUCAUGAUAUUUUCUUUUGUCUGACCCAGGGCUCAUUGGUUGGUGCCAUGAGCCCAUGAGCUUCCAGGUCAAUUGAUGUACCUGUAGGAUGUUAUUCAUGGUAGUGUGAUUUCUUGCGUAAACCAUGAAACCAUCAGAAGCAGCGAGAGAUAACGGUAAAACAUAGCAGAAAUACCCAAUGUAUAUUUCUUCUGAAAGAUACAACACUAUAUGUAGAAUGGAUCUGUGCUCCUGCAUCAGUAAUUGUAAAACUUGCUUGUCAUCUUGCAAAGCAUGCGAAGUCA